UCCGGUUUGUCACCGGCAGUCUCCCUAGAGUGCCCUUGCGUAGCAACUAGGGACAAGGGUUGCGCUCGUUGCGGGACUUAACCCAACAUCUCACGACACGAGCUGACGACAGCCAUGCAGCACCUGUGUUACGGCUCCCUUUCGGGCACACCCAGCUCUCGCUGGGCUUCCGUACAUGUCAAGGGUAGGUAAGGUGGGGAUGACGUUUCUAGGAGGGUG
rnacentral:misc_RNA from 1 species